rnacentral:tRNA from 1 species
GGGCGAUUAGCUCAGCUGGUUCAGAGCACCUCGUUUACACCGAGGGGGUCGNCAAGAAACUCCUU